UAGUCUGCAUGAAAAAGCACUUUAGACGU
rnacentral:piRNA from 1 species